AGAAGGAGGAGCCGCAGCCGGAGGAAGAGCAGAAGGUAAACGAACACUUGGUUCGGUACAGCCGGCGCACUGUGCGCCGGAUGAGCCCAGCGGAACAAGGCCCCCAGCGCGCCCACAGGUCUGUGAUGGCGAACCUAUAGCAUGCGUGCCCAAAGUGACACGCAGAGCCAUGUCACCUGGCACACACGGCGUUGCCCGUUUCUCUUCCGGGUUUCUGGCACACAUGCGCAUGUGAGGAUCAGCUGGCCUUUGUGUGUGUGGCAGUGUCUAAAACUGGAAGAGCUGGUCUUCUGUUUUACGGUGUACGUAAAACACGGUGUGAGCAUGCGUGCUGGCCAGCUGAUCGUCGUGUGCGCAUGCACAGCAAUAACUGGAAGACCUUAUCCGGUGUGCGUAUGUCUCCUGGACAACUUUUCUUCCUGGUCACGGCCCUGACAAGUGCAUGUGCGAAGUGCUCCCUUUUCGGUACUUGUUGCAGUAUGUGCGUGCUCCCUUUUUGACACUCGGUGCCCGAAAAGGUUCACCAUCAUUGCCUUAGGUAUUAGGCUUGUAAUUCUAUAACCAUUUACCUAGGAAUAGAAUUCAUCUGUGUAGAUCCACACAGAAUUUUAAAAAGAAUUAUGCUGUCUAUUAUUUAUAAACCAAUAUACAAAGCUAAACUGAAAUAAGAUUCAGUGUGUUCCAAGCUUUUUUGCUGAAAGUAUAUAUACCAAUUCACUGCAAUAUAUUACAAUUUCUUGUAAUAUCACCAGAAUUUAUUUUAACCAUGACUGAAGAAUAAAACUCGAAAUAAAUGUA